AUUUAAUGCUUCAGACAUGAACAGGCAUGAGCAGGCAUGAACAGGUCUGAUCAGGUCUGAACGAAUUUAACGCUUCAGGCAUGAACAGACAUGGACAGGCAUGAACAGGUCUGAUCAGGU